UACGUAGGGUGCAAGCGUUGUCCGGAAUUAUUGGGCGUAAAGAGCUCGUAGGCGGUUUGUCGCGUCUGCUGUGAAAAUCCGGGGCUCAACCCCGGACUGCAGUGGGUACGGGCAGACUAGAGUGUGGUAGGGGAGACUGGAAUUCCUGGUGUAGCGGUGGAAUGCGCAGAUAUCAGGAGGAACACCGAUGGCGAAGGCAGGUCUCUGGGCCACUACUGACGCUGAGAAGCGAAAGCAUGGGGAGCGAACAGG
rnacentral:rRNA from 1 species